ACCAGAGAAAGAAAAGAACGGGGGAAAACACCAAAAACCCUCAUUCACUAAAUUGAUCAAAUUGGAGGAUGGAUUGAGUCCAAAUCAUAUGCAUGAACUUGAAAUUCUGAUUAUCUAAACCUAAUAAACACAAGUUUAGAUGUUUUGAUGAUUGUAGAGGUGAAACACAAGUGAAGCAUCGGGACGUCAAGCUUGACUAGACGCGCGAUUGAAAGAAAAGUUAUAAGGUGCUUAGAUGUAAACGGGUCGAAUAAUUGAACGCACAAUCCGAGAACCGAUAGCGUAAAGCGUAAGAGUUAUAUCAGUGGCGACGGAGAUCUGUGGUGGGUCGUCGGAUCUGUGGCGGGUCGUCGGAUCUGUGGCGAUGGGGUUCUGUGGUGGUCCUCAGAUCUGUGGUGGGUCGUCGGAUCUGUGGCGGUGGGGUUCUGUGGUGGUCCUCCGAGCUAUGAGUGUCGUGACAAGUUCAUUCAUGUGAGAUUGAACGGUCAUAACCUGACUGAACUCGUCUUUAACGUGUUGUAUCAGAACUGAAAUUGCUCUGUUUAUGAGAAUUUUGACAAACACUUCCGCCAUUAAUGCUUAUUAUCAAGCUCUGAGUUUGAGUGGAGUAGGAUAAGAAAUGGCACUACAAGGAGGAAAAGACUAUUGAUGAAUUUGACUUGGUCCAUGUACUCGUUUUCUUUCUUUUUUUUUAAUUUAUGAAAUCUUGUUGGUACAGGAUAACUAAGCGUAUGAUUUAUCAAAGUAAGCAUUUGUGCAAUAAUAUAUUUGUAAACCCAGGACAAAAUAGUUAUAAAUGUUUUAGGGUCUAGGGUUUCAAAAUUUUGCUUAAUCUGAGAAGGAAUUUAGGUUUUUGAAAAUUGAAAGGAUAAUUUAGGGAAGAUGCCGGAGAUUGAGGAUGAAAAAAUGACGACGUAACAGUGUUUGCGUAUCAGAUUUUAUGUUUUCAGGCGGGGAGGUGGUGGUGGGUGGUGGUUGGUGAUGGUGGGUGGUUGGUGGUGGCUUGUUGAUGGUGGUAGUGGUGGAGGUUGGUU
rnacentral:lncRNA from 1 species